UUUUGGACAAUGGGCGCAAGCCUGAUCCAGCCAUUCCGCGUGAGUGAAGAAGGCCUUCGGGUUGUAAAGCUCUUUCGCAAGGGCAGACAACUUACUUUCUAAUAAAGAGUGAGGUUGACGGUACCUUGAUAAGAAGCACCGGCUAACUACGUGCCAGCAGCCGCGGUAAUACGUAGGGUGCGAGCGUUAAUCGGAAUUACUGGGCGUAAAGCGUGCGCAGGCGGCUUUGUAAGUCAGAUGUGAAAUCCCCGAGCUCAACUUGGGAACUGCGUUUGAAACUACAAGGCUAGAAUAUGUCAGAGGGGGGUAGAAUUCCACGUAUAGCAGUGAAAUGCGUAGAGAUGUGGAGGAAUACCAAUGGCGAAGGCAGCCCCCUGAUUGGUAUUACGCUCAGCAGAA
rnacentral:rRNA from 1 species